rnacentral:rRNA from 1 species
CCUACGGGUGGCAGCAGUGGGGAAUAUUGGGCAAUGGGCGCAAGCCUGACCCAGCAACGCCGCGUGAAGGAAGAAGGCUCUCGGGUUGGUAACUUCUUUUGUCAGGGAAGAGUAGAAGACGGUACCUGACGAAUAAGCCACGGCUAACUACGUGCCAGCAGCCGCGGUAAUACGUAGGUGGCAAGCGUUGUCCGGAUUUACUGGGUGUAAAGGGCGUGUAGGCGGGUUGACAAGUCAGAUGUGAAAUCCUGCGGCUUAACUGAGGAACUGCAACUAAAACUACUUUCCUUGAGUACUGGAGAGGAAAGUGGAAUUCGUGGUGUAGCGGUGAAAUGCGUAGAUAUUAGGAGGAACACCAGUGGCGAAGGCGACUUUCUGGACAGUAACUGACGUUGAGGCACGAAAGUGUGGGGAGCAAACAGGAUUAGAUACCCGUGUAGUC